UACGAAGGGGGCUAGCGUUGUUCGGAAUUACUGGGCGUAAAGCGCACGUAGGCGGACAUUUAAGUCAGGGGUGAAAUCCCGGGGCUCAACCCCGGAACGGCCUUUGAUACUGGGUGUCUUGAGUUCGGAAGAGGUGAGUGGAAUUGCGAGUGUAGAGGUGAAAUUCGUAGAUAUUCGGAAGAACACCAGUGGCGAAGGCGGCUCACUGGACAUGUAUUGACGCUGAGGUGCGAAAGCGUGGGGAGCAAACAGGG
rnacentral:rRNA from 1 species